AUACGGAGGAUCCGAGCGUUAUCCGGAUUUAUUGGGUUUAAAGGGAGCGUAGGCGGACGCUUAAGUCAGUUGUGAAAGUUUGCGGCUCAACCGUAAAAUUGCAGUUGAUACUGGGUGUCUUGAGUACAGUAGAGGCAGGCGGAAUUCGUGGGGUAGCGGUGAAAUGCUUAGAUAUCACGAAGAACUCCGAUUGCGAAGGCAGCCUGCUGGACUGUAACUGACGCUGAUGCUCGAAAGUGUGGGUAUCAAACAGGAUUAGAUACCCUGGUAGUCCACACAGUAAACGAUGAAUACUCGCUGUUUGCGAUAUACAGUAAGCGGCCAAGCGAAAGCGUUAAGUAUUCCACCUGGGGAGUACGCCGGCAACGGUGAAACUCAAAUGAAUUGACUGGG
rnacentral:rRNA from 1 species